CAGCGUCCAACUGACAGAGGGGUCGACUAAAGACAGCGUGAAGCCCAAGUCAAGCGAAACCCUAACGCCUGCACCAGUCGUUGCAGCCGAAACACUCUCAUUUGUCUUUGAGAUUCGAAAAGCAAUGGCGGAAAGAGCCGAAGCCCCUGUGAUAACCUUAGGAGGCAAGGGCUCAAAUCUCUCAUCAUCCUCACUAUACGCCAUCGCCACCGGCCUCGCUCGGGUGAGCAUAGACUCGUCUGCGCUCGAUAGGCUCGUCGCCGCCUCCUCUAAAUGCUGCCCGCCAUCUAUCAAUUACCGAAUCAAACUCUCCGAAAACCUGACCCUACCUGAAUCCCGCGCUUUCCUCACCGUCGCUAUUAACAAGCUCCUCCUUUAUGGUUCCUCAAACGUUCGUACGGUCCUUCCAGUUAGAAUCUCCGAAGUCCUGAAUUACAACUCUAAAACCCUCGAAUUCGAACCCCUCUAUUGUACCGAGGACGAGAUCUUUGUGCUGGAGAGAUCAUACGCAGCUUUGCACGGCAUUUCUGCCAUUUUGGACCAUGAGUUCACGGCGUUAUCGUCCAUUGUCGAUGCCGUUGCCGCGAUUUCGUGCGAGGCAGCCAGAGCCGACGUGGCAGCAUUCAAUUCGAUGGACUCGGGGGACGGGUUUUCGUCCAAGGAGGAAGUUGGGGUUGCCAGUGAUAUGAAGGUUUUACUCAAUGGGUCUAAGUUGGUGGGUAAGGUUGAGAGAGUGUGGUUCUCAAAAAUCCCCAAAGUUCACGGGAGUUGGAGGGAGAUAGUGAAGUUGGUGCACUCCAAGGUGCGAAUCGAGUUGAAUUCGGGCAUGAAGUUGGCGAAUGCGGAAUGUUCGGCAGUGCGGUCAGUGUUAUUGCCGCUAUAUGACUUAGGGAAGUGUAGCUUGAGCCGCGCUAAAUCGAAUUUGGAGUCGACAGAUGAUGGUGAUUUGCAGACGACUCUGGGGGACUUGUUUGGCGGGAAAUGCCCGAGGAGCGACAGUUUUACAGAUGGUUUUAAGUUGGUCUCGGAAUUGGGAUUAGAAGAGGAUCAUGAAAAAUUUGUGCACGAGGUGAAUGUGUUGUUGGGAAUGGUGUGGAAGAUUGUUGCGUGGGAGUCGAUAACGGGUUUCUUUGCUCUUGAGGGUGUGGAAUGGUUUGGAAAGAGUGAAAAGGGCGUUGACGCGAAUGGAGUAGGGAAUGUCAAGGCGGAGAAGAAGAGCGAGAAGAAGAAGAAGAAGGUGGUUUUGGGGAAAGGGACUAGUGUGAUUGUGCAAAUGAUUAAGGAUAGGUUGCAAAGUAAGGGAGGGGGUGGGAUUGGGGGUUUGGAGUUGUUGGAGAAAUGGGUAGAGGAUCUUUUGUUGUUUUUGGAUCCCAAGGACCAGGAUUUUGGCAGUUUGUUGCUGAGAGUGAAGGAGAUUGUGGAAAGCAAUGAAAGUAGAAGACUGCCCAAGCUUCCAAAGGGUACUCGUGAUUUUGCGAAAGAACAGAUGACAAUAAGAAAGAAAGCUUUUUCAAUUAUCGAGGAGGUCUUCGAGAGGCACGGUGCUACGGCCUUGGAUACUCCAGCUUUUGAGCUGAGAGAAACUCUUAUGGGAAAAUAUGGGGAAGAUUCAAAGUUGAUUUAUGAUCUUGCUGACCAGGGUGGAGAGCUUUGUUCUUUGCGAUAUGACUUGACGGUACCGUUUGCUAGAUAUGUGGCUAUGAAUGGUCUAACAUCAUUUAAAAGGUACCAGAUAGCUAAGGUUUACAGGAGGGACAACCCAUCUAAGGGAAGAUAUCGUGAAUUUUAUCAGUGUGAUUUUGACAUUGCUGGCCAAUAUGAAAAGAUGGGGCCAGAUUUUGAGGUCGUUAAAAUUUUGACUGAACUUCUCGAUGAACUUAACAUUGGAGACUAUGAGAUAAAAUUGAAUCAUCGAAAGUUACUCGAUGGAAUGUUGGAAAUAUGCGGAGUGCCGCCAGAAAAAUUCAGAACCAUAUGUUCUAGUGUUGACAAGUUAGAUAAGCAAUCUUUCGAGCAGAUAAAGAAAGAGAUGGUGGAGGAAAAGGGUUUAACUGUUGAGACAGCUGAUGCAAUUGGCACUUUUGUGAAGGAAAGGGGAUCCCCUUUGAGCUUAUUAUCUAAACUUAAGCUGGAGGGAAGCAAGUUCCUAGGACACAAUGGAUCAGUUGAUGCACUGAAUGAACUGGAUAUUUUAUUCAAAGCUCUUGAAAGAUCGAAGUGUAUUGGCAAAGUCGUUUUUGACUUGAGUCUUGCUAGAGGUCUUGAUUAUUACACUGGAGUUAUAUUUGAGGCUGUUUUUAAAGGGGGUACACAGGUUGGUGCAAUUGCUGCCGGUGGACGUUAUGACAACCUUAUAGGUAUGUUUGGCACAAAGCAGGUGCCAGCAGUUGGUGUCAGCCUUGGGAUUGAACGUGUAUUUGCUAUAAUGGAGCAGCUUCAGAAAGACCAGAACCAGACAACACGAGCUACAAAGACAGAAGUUCUAGUGAGUAUACUUGGGGAUGACCUGACUCAAGCUGCAGAACUGGCAACCGAACUGUGGAAUGCCAGACUGAAAGCAGAAUAUCUGGUCAAUAAAAGAGUGAUGAAGCACAUUGACCGUGCUAGAGAGUCGAGGAUCCCAUAUAUGGUAAUUGUGGGUGAGCGGGAACUGAAUGAAGGGAUUGUGAAGCUAAAAGACGUCGAGGCUGCUAAAGAAGAAGAAAUUCCUCGGAGCAAACUUGUGGAGGAACUCAAACGGCGGUUGAACCAAUGAAAAAUAAUAUUUGGCCAACCCACAACUCCAAAGCCAGACUUUUGUUCUCUGUAUUAAGACAAUGCUUUUGGAGGGCCUGUGCAAAAACACAAUGGGCCCGACCCAUUCGACAAAAUCGAUCCGACCAGCUCCGAUAAAAUCGAGUUGAAAUAGAUGCUCUCUCGCGCGAGCAAAAAGACCCUAGUGGAUGAAACCUCUCUUCGAAAGCCAUCUCUUGUGGUUCUCUCCUACUCUAUCGUGUGCUUCUCACACAUUCUCAUCCUCACUGAGACCGGAGCGUUCGAGAAUCUUGUGCUGAAACUCCAAUGACAAGUUGAAAUCCCCAGUGAGUUUGGAGUGCUCCAUGAACUGUUGAAACUUGACCUGGAGAUGCGACGGCGAGCGAUAGCAUGAGUAGUUGGCGAGAGGUAAACAGAUCUCGGGCGGCUCAUGAUGUAGCGAAUACGAGAACAAGGAAAAGAUAACGAUGGUGACUAGGUUGUAUUGGAGAUGGAGUCAGAGUUGAUGAACAUUCAACUGGGUUGAGCUAGGAGCCUUGGAUGAUAAUGAUAGCUAUGAGAGGGACCAAAUAGAGGGUCAAGAGAUGGGUUUUUUGGGAUUUCAGAUUUGGGUUCGAGAUUUGAGGUGUGUGUUUUGGAACUGCGAUGGGGCUAAUACAUAACAUUGUUUGACGUAUUCGAGAUUUGUGAUUUGAUGUAUUCGAGCCUUUGCUUGACGGUUUUAUUUCAAGCCUUUGCUUUAGUUUGUUGUAGAUAACAUUGUUUGCCUGCUUAUGUGUGCUUUAUUCAUGAUAUGUUGUGA